rnacentral:rRNA from 1 species
AUCAAUCAUAGAGUCACAAAAUAACAUAGUAGUUGAAUGUUCUGGAAAGUUCAGCCAUAGAGGGUGAUAGCCCCUUAAACAAAACUAUGUUGUCUCUAGAAAAUAUCCCGAGUAGCACGGAGUAAGUGGAAUUCUGUGUGAAUCUGUGAGAACCAUCUCAUAAGGCUAAAUACUCUUUCGUGACCGAUAGUGAACCAGUACCGUGAGGGAAAGGUGAAAAGAACCCUUAAGAAGGGAGUGAAAUAGUACCUGAAACCGCAUGCUUACAAACGGUAGUAGGAAGUCUUAUAUCUUCGGAUAUAAGAGGACUGACUGCGUGCCUUUUGCUUAAUGAGCCUACGAGUUGCUCGUACGAUGCAAGGAUAAAUUUCUAAGAAAUGAAUCCGUAGCGAAAGCAAGUCCUAAUCGGGCGAACAUAGUAUCGUGCGGCAGACGCGAACCCGUGUGAUCUACCCUUGGUCAG